rnacentral:rRNA from 1 species
UGGGGAAUAUUGGACAAUGGGGGGGAACCCUGAUCCAGCCAUGCCGCGUGUGUGAAGAAGGCCUUUUGGUUGUAAAGCACUUUAAGCGAGGAGGAGGAGCUUCAGGUUAAUACCCUGGAUGCUUGGACGUUACUCGCAGAAUAAGCACCGGCUAACUCUGUGCCAC